AGCUGAUCAGUGUCUUCAGUAUUACCACAAGCUACUGGGCAGAUGUGUGGACACGACAGCUAUGAGCCAGACUUGGGACGUUUGGUUUUUAGCAGGUGGAGAGACCGUCUGGGCAGCAGAAACAAGACAACUAAUCAUAGUUAGGUUGAGAUUAGUAUUAUUAACUUGACUAGUUUGGUUGCAGACUUGUUCAAUACUUAACAAUUUGUAUGAGUUACAAGAUCAAUGGUCCUGCUAUCAAUGUUUUUGUAACUUAAAUUCAUUACAGUUUAGAUACAAUCAAAUGUCCAAACCAUCUCUGAGUGAAUGACAUCAAGGAAACAGGAUCAAAAGAUCAUUCAUUAUAGACCGUUUCAUAGGUCAUUCUGUUCUCCUGGUUGUGAGCAUGUGCAGAGGCUGUAUUUGUCAGUGUUAAAAGACUAUCCAGACAUACAAGCAGCCGACAAAGAGUUCUGGAGCAGGACAGACAGGGCAGCACGGUGGCGCAGAGGGUAGCACGUUUGCCUCACAGCAAGAAGGUCGCUGCUUCGAGCUUCGGCUGGAUUGGUGUACGCUGAUGGUCUGCUGAGAAUUCUCCGGAGUUGAAGGGAUCCUCCUGUCAGACAACCUCUCCAAAGUACAAUAGGACUAGGUUCCCACUACAAGGAUUAGAUUUGGCUACUGCAGUCCCGGUUUGGGCCAGCCUCACUUGUGAAGACUAAAGAUGAAGACAACAUACAAGAACAAUUUAGAGGAUGGCGACACACUUUUUAUUCCACCUAUAUAUCCCCUUUUAUGUGUAAGCAAAAUUCCACAAGAUAAAACAAAACUAAAUGACAGGUUGUUUCUUUUAAUUUUAUCGGUUUUCUUGGAACAUUGUACACAAUUUACAACCAGUUAUAUAUAUAUAUAUAUAUAUAUAUAUAUAUAUAUAUAUAUA
ensembl:processed_transcript